rnacentral:rRNA from 1 species
GAUGAACGCUGACAGAAUGCUUAACACAUGCAAGUCUUUGGCGAAGCUGUGCUUGCACAGCCUAGCUAAGGCGGACGGGUGAGUAACGCGUAAGGAACUUGCCCUGCAGUCAGGGAUAACAGACGGAAACGACUGAUAAGACCUGGUAAAGUCAGGCGGACUCAUGUCCAGCCUGAUGAAAAGAGAUGCUGCAGGAGAGCCUUGCGUCCUAUUAGCUUGUUGGUGGGGUAACGGCCCACCAAGGCGAUGAUAGGUAGCCGGCCUGAGAGGGUGGACGGCCACAAGGGGACUGAGAUACGGCCCUUACUCCUACGGGAGGCAGCAGUGGGGAAUAUUGGACAAUGGGGGCAACCCUGAUCCAGCAAUUCUGUGUGCACGAUGAAGGUUUUCGGAUUGUAAAGUGCUUUCAGCAGGGAAGAAAAAAAUGACGGUACCUGCAGAAGAAGCGACGGCUAAAUACGUG